rnacentral:tRNA from 1 species
GGGCCUGUAGCUCAACGGUAGAGCAUCCCGUUCGCAUCGGGAAGACAUGGGUUCGACUCCCAUCAGGUCCACCA